CUUAUCUAUCAAGUAUCGACUUUUCACUUAUCAAUUUAAUACUUAAUUUUAGGAAAGUCAAACCUAAAAUUAGCAUUUAAAUAAAUCACACUUGCGCACUCUUUCUAAUAAUUUCACACUUUUUUUGCAGGCAGACUUUUUCCUUCUUCUUUCUUCCCUUUUCUUCUUCUCUUCUUUUUCUCCUCUUGGUCCGGUGCGAGUUUGCUGUAGUCAUACUUAUCUUUUUCUUUCUUCCAUUUUCUUCUUCUUUUUCUCUUCUUGGUCAGAUGCAAGUUUCCUCCAGGCACACUUUCUCUUCUUCUUUCUUCCCUUUUCUUCUUCUUGGUCCAGUGUAGGAACAUUGGAGUUUCCCGUGUCAAGUCCGCACUAGCCUCUAUGUAGCUCCGCCCUGAUGUCAGCAGCAGUGGUUGUUAAAUAAAGUGAAAAAAACCUUUACAUAUGAAGCAUUAACAGUUAGUAGUCACAACUUAAUCCACAUUUCAUGCUAUGGAAGGUCCAAUGGAAGCAGUACUUUAAGAUUAGGGCAAUAACCUUCAAUUUUGCUUAUUCAAUUUUGUACACGUUCCAUUUGUAAGGACCAGAUAACAUGAUUUUAAACACAAAAUACUAGAUAAUCAUAAUUUGACUGAAACUAAACUUGCAGAAAUUAAAGAUUGAACAUAAUGAAUUUUUCAACCAAAAGCCCAGAAGUUUGGUAACCGCUUCUAACACCUAAUCCUCUAUUGAGCAUCCAGUAAAUUGGAUAUAUGCUCGAUUGCAUUAAAUAGCCCAAAAAUGACAACAAACGUUACAAGAGUUCUUUCAACAUAAGAGAAAAGUGCAAAACACUUAUCUCUUUAACAAUAAGACUGUAGAUCUACAAAGAAUCACCCAAUAUACUUCAUACGCGCCCUCUUAAAAUACAACUAUAAGAAUCUCUCGUUCUCACAGUAUUCACUCAGAAUAUUACAAAUAUCAGAGGCCAAAAAUAUAUCUCAAUCUCGAAUGAGCAGUUCAAUUGAGAAUAAAACCAUAGAACGAAAACUCUAACACUGAAGGAAGAUAUAUUUCUCUCUCAUAGAACUCAAUAGCCAGAAGAAGGAAAG
rnacentral:lncRNA from 1 species